rnacentral:rRNA from 1 species
AAUGAACGCUGGCGGCGUGGAUAAGACAUGCAAGUCGAACGAGAGAACUGAUUAGUUUACUAGGAUGUAUCUCUAGUGGCGGACGGGUUAGUAACACGUGAGCAACAUGCCUCGAAGCGGGGGAUAGCCUUCCGAAAGGGAGAUUAAUACCGCAUGUGACCUUCGGGUCAAAGGCGCCUUCGGGUGUCGCUUUGAGAUUGGCUCGCGGCCUAUCAGCUUGUUGGUGAGGUAACGGCUCACCAAGGCAACGACGGGUAGCUGGUCUGAGAGGACGAUCAGCAACACUGGAACUGAGACACGGUCCAGACACCUACGGGUGGCAGCAGUCGAGAAUCAUUCACAAUGGGGGCAACCCUGAUGGUGCAACGCCGCGUGGAGGAUGAAGGCCCUAGGGUCGUAAACUCCUGUCAUGUGAGAGUAAGGCAUAGUAGGUUAAGAGCUAACUAUGUUUGAUAGUAUCACAAGAGGAAGGGACGGCUAA